AGAAGAAGAAAAUGUCUACACUUAUUAUACCUACAAUUUCUCCUUCUCCAAGAUAUGAUGCCAUGCAACUCUACCGUGCUUUCAAAGGAGCAUCAAGAUUUUUUAGGGUAAAUCUUUACAUUAACCACAACUGAAACCCCAACUGGAAGGUGUUACAUCUUCAAACCAAAGUGAAAUGUUGAACAAAUUAACCACAAUAAAAGACAGAAGCUACCAAAGCUUAACCAUCAAGAGCAUGAAAUAAAAGAUGAGCCUUGGUAACUCAAGACAAAAGCAAAAACGCCAAUGCCUAUCAAGCUGGGGUUUCGAUAAUCAAGCAGGGGGUUAAGGUCACUGGAAUCUGUACUAUAGUUUCCAUUGGCAUCUUAUUCAUGGGCAUGAUUUGAAGUCUGUAACAUGUUCUCUUGCAGCAAAAGUCGUUGGAUAUAUUUGUGGUCAAUUCUUUUGGAUCUGGGUUCCAGGUAUGUCUUGCAAUAAUAACGUGAAAUACAAAUGGUUUAAAUAUGAUGAUUGGUGCAAUAUCAAUUACAAAGAAUAAGUGUACCUUUCACAAUUUGUAAAUGACCUGAUAAAACAAAUGUGUAGUCUCUAUAUCCUGUUUUGCUAAUAUCUUAAUAGAUGUGCUAUCUUGUGAGUUCAAAUUAUAUGUAUGCUUUCUAUCCUUUUAGAUAAUCUCAAAAUGCAUUACUUUUGUUUGUCCCAUUACAAUAACAAAUGCGAACUGUUAGAAUACUUGUACUAUUAGUUACAAAAUUCGAGUUUAUUUUGGUCAUGCAUAUUUUAUGUAUCUUAAUUAAAUAAUAAUUAUGAGCCAUAU